UUUGCCUCUAGAGGCACUGCAGGUGUGGCUGCUGUAUCAAGUUAAAAGGUGCUUCAGUACGGGGCAGAGAAGAGAGAGGCAAUGUCUACGUUCAGUGUUCUGACCUAUUAACAUAUAAUUGGUAGCCUAACAUU